GUCAGGAAUGUUUUUUUGGUUUAAAAAGUCUGUGCCGACGAUUCAUGGUUGUAAGUUGACUUGAAAUAUUUGAAUCCAGUUUAGUGAACAAUUCUUCAAGAAAUUCCUGCAAGUUCUCUGGCCCAACUUCCAGAGGAAUAUUACGGAACCUAAGAUGGUGCCUUCUAAAGCGAUGCUCUAAAACUCUCAGUUUUAAUUCCAGGUUAUAGAUCUUUUG